UCCCUCUGCCGCUUCUCCUCCCUCGCAUUCCUGCCUUCUCACCAUCGCACCAGAGGUGUUGCCGCUCUCACCGUUGCCGCUCCACCAUCGUCACUCUCACCGUCGCCGCUCUGCCACCUUUUAUCUCCACCACGAUCGAGCAAGCCAGCCAUCUCUCUAACCUUCCUUCAUUGCCAGGACCGAGCAGUAGGGACAUCUGCGAGGACAACAAAUAUGAUGUCUCGCCAAAAGUACUACGUGGUUUUCGAAGGUCAUGAGCGAGACAUAUAUGACAGUUGAAAGCAGUGCCAACCAUUAGUCUAUCGGUACAAGGGCGCCCUCUUCAGAUCGUUUGAUUCAUUCGAAAUAGCUGAGUAUCACAUGCAUGAGUAUGUCCACAACAAGUAUGGUGUGCAAGUACAUAGGCCUCCACUCAUUAAAGAUGACAUCGCAAAUCAAGAUAUAGAAGACACGAACUUUGAAGAACGAAAGUGCAGCCACAAAUGUUGGAUUACUUGUUUUGUGGUUACAUGUUUUCUUUGUUGGAUAUGUACUCAUAAUAACUUCUUUUUUUUUUCUAGAUAGUAGGAAAUACACUCUU